CAGCCGCCGCGGUAAUACAGAGGGUGCGAGCGUUAAUCGGAUUUACUGGGCGUAAAGCGUGCGUAGGCGGCUUCUUAAGUCGGAUGUGAAAUCCCUGAGCUUAACUUAGGAAUUGCAUUCGAUACUGGGAAGCUAGAGUAUGGGAGAGGAUGGUAGAAUUCCAGGUGUAGCGGUGAAAUGCGUAGAGAUCUGGAGGAAUACCGAUGGCGAAGGCAGCCAUCUGGCCUAAUACUGACGCUGAGGUACGAAAGCAUGGGGAGCAAACAGGAUUAGAGACCCCAGUAGUCCCUGUCUCUUAUAA
rnacentral:rRNA from 1 species